rnacentral:rRNA from 1 species
CCCUUAGAUGUUCUGGGCUGCACGCGUGCUACACUGAUAUUGCCAAUAUGUCAUUCUUAUCCGAAAUGGAUUGGGUAAUCAAGUAAUGAAAUUUCAUGCUUGGAAUCGGUAAUUGCAAUUUUAUCGUGAACGAGGAAUUCCUGGUAAGCACUAGUCAUCAGCUAAUGUUGAUUAUGUCCCUGCCCUUUGUACACACCGCCCGUCGCUACUACUGAUUGGGUGUUCAAGUGAGAUGCUUAGACCCUUGUUGCAUGGUUCAUUAUUGUGCUCCGAAAGGAAAAAGUUUCAAGCUUGAGUGUCUAGAGGAAGUAAAAGUCGUAACA